rnacentral:lncRNA from 1 species
CUGUAUUGUAAAUAUGCAGUCACAAAUAAUCCUGCCAAAGUAAUAGGAAUUAGACCUAAGACGAUUCCAAAUAGAAAAACUUCAAUCAUUUCGGUUUGUUUGAGGGGAUAAAAAAAAGGGGUAAGAUCUAUCCCUAAAUAUUAAUCUGAAUUAUCCGCGAAUCUCAAUGACCAAGAAAAAAAUUGGCAAUUGGUGUGGGAAAGAACCAUAGAAUAUCUGGAAUUACCGAGAAAUAUUUUUCUGAAUUAUUUAUUCAAUUCAUUUUCAAAUAAGUCGUAUCUUGUUCAAACCAAUAAAUAGAGCUGGGGUUAUAGUUAAAGCAGCCAGUAUAAAACCGAAAUAACUAGUUAUAGUAAGCAUGAAAGGGCUUUAUUAGAUAUGUUUUUUUUUUUUUUCUACAUAUGUUGAUAAAACACUUACCUAAGUUUCCAUUUUUCCCAGAUACGAGGGUAAUAAAAACCAAUUAAGAGAAUUAGUUUAGUUCCAAUGGAAAAUUCAUGAUUCAUCGGUCAUUAUAGAUAAUACUAAAAAAAGAUAGAGUGACAUAACAUAGGUAGAAAAAAAAAUUGAUUCAUCAGAUGUGACAUCGACCGAUCCUGUGAUUCCGAAUCAACAGGUUCAUUGUGCAAUUUUUGAGUUGAGUAAAGUAAUAGUAAUAAGAACUGUGUCGUGUAACUUCAUUCGAAGAUGAAAUUCAAUUUUCAUUAAUUUUGGAAUAAAAGAAUUGGAUUUGAAAAUAGCUUCAAUUCCAUUUUUUUGGAGCGAACGACCUGAUACUACCUUAUUACUUAUUUUAACUCAUUGCAUUCAGUAUAGUAAUAAAUAGGUUAGUUAAUUACCCAUAAUAUAUCGAAUAAGAAGAAAAAAAGGUGUUCCACCAUCCAUCGAUGGAUCUAUCGAGAAACAAAAACUUUUACUUUUUACUUUAUUUAAUUAUUUAAUUGAAAUUUUCAAUUUAAAUUGACUUUAUUUUUGUUCUCUUUUUCGGGUCCAAAAGUCGAUUCGAAGACGAGCCACCUCAAUUAUCCUUUUAGGUUCCAUAUUCCGUCUUUCCAUAUCAUGGAGUUCCAUACUUGUAGUUUGGUCAAGAAAGAACCUUUGUCUUGGACCUAAUCCAACAAUGAUUGCAUCACGAAUAUUGAUUGUUACAACUAUGUUUUCUUUCUUUCAUUAAAUAUGAUCUAAUCUAAAUAGUAGAUACUAUUACUAUUAUCUACUACUAUUAUCUACUAUUAUAUAUAUUUAUAUAUUAUCUACUAAUUUAUAUAUUAUCUACUAUUAUAUAUAUAUAUAUAUAUAUAUCUUUUUUUUUAUAUAUUAUAUAUUCUUUUUUUAUUUAUUAUUAUUAUUUUUUAUUUAUUAUUAUUAAUAGUUACUAAUUAUAGUUAUUAAUUAUUUUUUUUUUUAGUUAAGUUAUAAGUAUUUAUUAUAUUAUACCAACCAAUUACUUGAAAUGAAAGGAUUCGAAUAAAACUUUUAACCAAAAAGGGUUAGAUUUCGCAUAUAAUUGAAUUGUGUCAAUACGAUAAUAUCUUUCAUGAAUUAUUAGAACCCAUUGAUCAUUGACUUACAUUUUCCCAAGAUCCUUACUUUCUAUUAUGAAGCCAAUAAGGGAAACCUUAUAAGAAAUUUGAGGGUUUUCUAUUGAUCUGUUGAAUAGCAUAACAUAAGUUAUCCAUAGAUAAGGAACAAAAAAAGAAAAAAGGAAUUGUGUAGCAUUUCGGUACCGAUCAAGGCUGCGUUGCUGUGCCAGAGGAAGGAUAGCUAUACUGAUUCGGUAUACUCGAAAUACACCUUUGGUACAAAAUUGACGAUCUCACAAAGAUGCAAUAUCAGUAGUUUUCUAUUUACUGAUCCCAUCUUUCACGGAAUCGAUUCCCCUUUUUGAAUGUACAAAAAUUUGUGGAGCUCAGCAUGUCUGGAAGCACGGGAGAACGUUCUUUUGCUGAUAUUAUUACCAGUAUUCGAUACUGGGUUAUUCAUAGCAUUACUAUACCUUCCCUAUUCAUUGCGGGUUGGUUAUUCGUCAGUACGGGUUUAGCUUACGACGUGUUUGGAAGUCCUCGGCCAAAUGAGUAUUUCACGGAAAGCCGACAGGGGAUUCCAUUGAUAACCGGCCGUUUUGAUUCUUUGGAACAACUCGAUGAAUUUAGUAGAUCCUUUUAGGAGGCCCUCAAUGACCAUAGAUCGAACCUAUCCAAUUUUUACAGUGCGCUGGUUGGCUGUUCACGGACUAGCUGUACCUACCGUUUCUUUUUUGGGGUCAAUAUCAGCAAUGCAGUUCAUCCAACGAUAAACCUAAUUCAAAUUAUAGAACUAUGACACAAUCAAACCCGAAUGAACAAAAUGUUGAAUUGAAUCGUACCAGUCUAUACUGGGGUUUAUUACUCAUUUUUGUACUCGCUGUUUUAUUUUCCAAUUAUUUCUUCAAUUGAGAGAAAGAAAGAGAAUAGUAGUAAUUCUCUUAUCCCAUUCGGAUAGAUACCAUCCUCAUAAUUAUCCAUGACUGUUUUUGUCUCUAGCAUGACCACUUGAUGAAAUGUGGAGGAAAGUGGGGGAAAUGGCCGAUACUACUGGAAGGAUUCCUCUUUGGCUGAUAGGUACUGUAACUGGUAUUCUUGUGAUCGGUUUAAUAGGUGUUUUCUUUUACGGUUCAUAUUCUGGGUUGGGUUCAUCUCUCUAGUAAUCGUAUGAGCCGGAUUGUAGACAUGAAAAAGUAAGAACUUAGCGGGUCCUUACCCUCCUUUGUCUGAUUAGAGCGGAAAGGGCCCGCGGAGUUCUUAGUCUUAUAACGAGACUUUGAUCUAUUCCAUAACCUACAAAUUGGUUAGUUAUCCAGUCAGCAUAAUCAAAAUAUUAUAUUUGUUUUGUAGAAAUGACAAAAAGGAUCCUUUGCUCUGAUGUUUCAAACCACUCUAUUCUUUUGUUUCUUAAUGAUGUUUGUGAACAAUUGAAUCUAGCGGUUGAUUCAUAGUUCCUGCCCUUCCCCCAAAAUAUUAACUGGAAGCAAGAAGAAAGAACGAAUCAAUCGAUUUUAUCUAUAAUCCAAUAUAAUUAUUAUAUUGAUUUCUAGGGAUGAGACAUCCUGCAAAUCAUUUCUAGACUAAACUAAUAGAACCUUAAUCAAAACUACUCUAAAAAAAAAAAUAAUUAUUAUUUUGAUACAAGACGACACAAGAAAAAGGAAUUUUCUUGUGUCGUCUUGUAUCGAAUAGAAGAUUAGGAAGACUAGUAAUCCUUCCUAAAAGUAUUUGUUCCUUUCAUUUUUCCCAUCCUUGCCUUGUAUUCUCUUCUUUUGUAUUUGUUCGGAUGCCUAUUGUUUAUUACUAAAAUGGAAUACAAGUAAUGAAUUCCAGGCGUCCUGCAAAACAAAAAGAGUAUAAACAAAGCAAGCAAAAGGAUUUACAGAAUUUUUUGAUCAUACAUAAUUGUAUCGAUGGACAAAAAACCGGCACUUUUUACCAAAUGUUAAGGAAUCUCUGGACCUAAAAAUUGAUUUCGUACAAUUGAACUUUUUCAAACUGUUUCUUUUUAAGAACCAAAAAAACUUGUGCCAAAAUAACAGAUGCGAAGAAGAACAAAAGGCCUUGGACGCGUAAUGGAUCUUGAAGCACUAUUUCUGCAUCUCCCUGACCAAACCCUCCUACAUUGGGAUUGCUUGUUAAUGGUUGAUCAAGCUUGAUGGAUUCACCCUCUGAAACAAGAAGUUCUGGCCCUGGAGGUAUAAUAUCAACCACUUGACGUCCAUCCGAUGCAUCAACUAUGGUUAUUUCAUAUCCUCCCUUUUCUUUUCGUACUAUUUUGCUUACUAUACCUGCUGAUGUAGCAUUAUAGACUGUAUUGUUACUCUUGCUACCAUCAGGAUAAAUCUGACCCCUUCCUCUGUUCCCACCCACAUAUAUGGGAUAUUUUAAGAAGUGAACGUCUUUCUUCGUAGCAGGGUCGGGGGAAAGAAUGGGAAAGACGAUUUCACUAUAUUUUUGACCCGGAACAGGACCUAUCACAAGAAUAUUUUUUUUAUUGGGACGAUAACUCUGAAAAGACAGAUUUCCUAUCUUUUCUUUCAACUCAGGAGAAAUACGAUCGGGGGGGGCUAAUUCGAAUCCCUCGGGUAAAAUAAGAACAGCACCCACAUUCAAACCCCCUUUUUUACCAUUAGCAAGAACUUGUUUCAGUUGCAUAUCAUAAGGAAUUCGAACAACUGCUUCAAAUACAGUAUCAGGAAGCACAGCUUGCGGAACUUCAAUAUCCACGGGCUUAUCAGCUAAAUGGCAAUUAGCACAUACAAUUCGUCCAGUUGCUUCUCGUGGGUUUUCAUAACCCUGCUGCGCAAAAAUGGGAUAUGCAUUUGAAAUGGAUGCUCGAGUUAUUACAUAUAUCAUGAUCGAUACAGAAAUGGAUCGAGUCAUCUGUUCCUUUACCCAAGAAAAAGUAUUUCUAUUUUGCAUGUCCAAUCAUGGAUCUCGGAAUUUCUACAAUAAAUUAGAUAGCGAACUAGUAAAGUUCCCUAUGCACGAGUCUGUCAUUGUACUGGAAUAGUUGUACUGGAAUAUAGGACGAAUACCUUGAACCGGUAGAAAUAAAAUAUAAAGAAUUAAGUAAGAUUCCAAAUGCUUUCUUUAUAAAGGAAGAAAGAUUCUGAUUUAUUUGAUUGAUAUCAGGAGAUCAAAUGAGUUCUUCAUUCAUUCAUUGAAUGAUAAAUGACUACAAGCGAAGGAGAUACACGAUUUAAAUAACGGAAAAUCCAAUAUUUCACAAUUGUAUCUAGAAUAACUGGAAAGGUGGAAACAAGACCAGAUAUAAUUUGAUCGUUAUGAGCCAAUCCAAAAUCGUUGUAGAACGAACCAAUUAUUAGUUCCCAACCAUGAGUUGAGUGAAAUCCAAUCCAUAAAUCAGUAACUAAAAGAAUCGAAAAAGCUUUUAUUGUGUCACUUAAGUUAUAGAGGAAUUCCUGAACCCAAGAAUUAAGAAUGACAAGUUCCUCAUUACCCAAAAUAAAAUAACCACUUAGAAUAGCGAAAGAGAUUAUAUUUGUCGAGAAAUGCAAAAUGAUAUGGAGAUGAUAUUCAUUGUGUGUUUUGACCAAUUGUAUCGUUUCCUUGUGUAUUCCUAUACGAAGUUUUUGUAUAUGUGUCUCCGGGUACUCCUUUAUCAUUUCGUCCAACAGAAAGAGUUCUUCUAAUUCUAUGAAUCUUUCUAGAACGUUUUUCUCUUGAAUGAUAUUCAAGAGAGUUUCGGAUUGCCCGGUAUUCCACCAAUUAGUAACCCAAAGCUCCAGACAUUUAUUAAAUGAGAGAGAGACCCACCAGGGCAAAAAUACUAUAGAUACAAGAUAUGGGAAAGAAGGCAAUGCUUUCUUUUUUUUCAUUUUUUAUCUGUGAAUUGAAUUGUUAAUGAACCUGCUUCAUUCGUUGACUCUAUAUGAUAUUUCUCUGAAGCACGAGUUCUAUAACAAGGUAUUGAACCUAUGGGUCUAUUCUAUUCAUUCCAAUUUUUGUGUAAAAAUUGAGUUUAGUUCUUGGAUCUAGAAGGAAUAUAGAAAUGGGAUAAGGGUCCGUCCUUUUCGGAUAAAAAUGCAAAAUCUAUAUUAUUCCCAGAUAUCUCAAUUGGGCAAAUUCGAAGCAAUUUCAUCCUCAUUUGUUCCUUUCUAUGAAUACUCGAAAACCCACUUAAAAUAACGAAUCGUAUUUCGAAACGAAAACCCCCCUCAGUUAAUUAUUUCGAAAUGUUUCAUCGUCUAGCCACAACCAAGGAAAAAGGGUAUCAUCAAGAUUUUGGGCCUAAAAAGAUGAGAUGAAUUACGUAUUACGAAAUACAUGUUCGGAUAUAUUUGAUGAAUCCCUACUUAUUAGAUUAUCCUUUUUUCUAGUAGAAAUCUUCUAGUAGAAAAGAAUUGAGUUGGGAUCCAUACGCAUACGAAAUACUUUUGGUAUACAAAUGGUAUACAAAAAUUUCUUCUUUUCUUAAUUAUAGUAUAGUUUAUUAUAGUUAUUCCAUAUACGCCCUCCUGCUUUUUUGUUUUAUUCUAUGGGAGUCGCCACGACAAAGGAAGGAGGAAAUAGAAUAAUCUAACAUGUUUUGUUCGAAUGAACAUUCCAAAAAGACUUCAAUUGUAUUAAAAAAGGAAUUAGCAAGUUCCUCCCCCCAUGCCGAGAAAACAUUUAUUCUUUAUUGUGUUCAAUUCAUUUCAAAAUACUUCAAUUGGUACGCGCAAGAAAUAGGCCAAUUCGGCAGCUUUUUGUUCAAUUUCUCGUGGAGUAAAAUUCUCAUCAGUACGAGUCAAGGGAAUGGCCCCUUGACCUCUGAUUUCCAUAUAAAGGACACGACGAGGAUAAAGACCCUCUUUAACCUCAAUUCUGAUUGAUUGGAUAUCUCUCAUAAGGAAGCGAAGGAAGAUGCGACGAUUUAUUCCAGGAAAUCCCCAACGAAAAAUGCACACAAUUCCUUCUUUUCUAUCGAAUCGGUCAUAACCACUACCUACAUUCCACAAAAUUGUGCACCACAAAUAGGAGCUAACGAAUAGACCUGCGAUCCCGUAAAAAGACAUCACGAUUCCUUGUGGAAAAAAAAUAAUUUGCUGAGAUGGAAAUACGGAUAUCAGAUUCCUACCAAGAUAACUGGAAGUUCCAACCGCUAAGAAUCCUAGUGAACCUAAAAAAAGGAUACAGGCCCAGCAAAAAUUACUUGUUUUUCGAGACCCCCUUAUAAGUUCUAUCCAUAUAUGUUCUGAUCGCCAAUUCAUACUAUACUAGAUCCAGUUGCAUUCGAUUGGAAUUGAGAGAAUAACCCAAAUUUGACUUUACCUUUCUUGAUCCCGAAGUAACUUUCAUCAACUAGCGCUAUUCUGAUGUGGAGUAAUUGGUUAGAUACAUUGACUUUCUAUUAAAAAUAUUUACUGAUCCUUUUUAACCAGCUAUGCCCUGCAUAUAUAUACAUGCAUUUAUGCGGAUAUCAUGUAUCCGCAUGCAUAACAGUUCUUUCAUUUGUGUGUGGAAAGAGCCACAUUAUGAUACAGUGUUGAAAUAAAUUGAUAAGAUUUGGUCCCAUUGGAUCUAGACAAUCUUAUUUUUUUGGACAUGAAGAGAUAAAGAAGCCAUUGCAAUUGCCGGAAAUACUAGGCCCACUAAAGGCACAAAAAUAGAGGGUAAGUUGAGAUCUGUCAUAGAAUGGGUGCCUCGAUUUAAUAUUUGUAUCUAUAUAUUUGUAUCUAUUAGAAAGAUAUCUUAUGAUAUGAUAAGUAUAUCUAUUAUAAGUAAUAUUAAGUAAUAUUGACUAUUGUAUUUUAUAUAAUAUGAAGUUUGAAUAAUAAUAUUCAAACUUCAUAUUAUACUACUAAGUAUAUAUAAACAAUUAAGUAUAUAUAAAUAUAUACUUUAUAAUAAAUAUAAGAUUUCCAAAUAAUAUUAUUUGGAAUAUUAUUAUUUGGAAAUUCAAAUUAUUAUUUGGAAAUCUCAAAUAGUAAUAAAAUAAAAAGAAAAUAAAAAAAAAAAGAUAGAUAAUAAGUGCAAAAAUGUAGAACUAAAUUAAGUGUACCUAUUCAUCUUUCUACACGAAUAUAGAUAGGAUAAUCUUCUUUUACAAAUUUUAUUAUUCUUCUUCUCCCAUCCUUAUGUUCUUUCUAUCUUUCUUUCUAAUCUAAUAAGGAGUUUCUUAUUAAAAAGGAGUUUUCUUAUGAAAAUUAAGUUCAUUAUGAAUUCGCGACUCUAAAUAAUACGAUCCAACAAACGGGGAUUCAUAGUAAAAAUGCGAUAUAUAUAGAAAUUUUUUUAUUCCAUAUCCGUAUUUGCUAUUUCUUUUUAUUUUGAUCUUCUUUUUUUCAUUAUUGUCUAUCUUAAUUAUUGUCUAUCUUAAUUAAUACGUAAGAUAGCCAGAUAAAAUUCUUUUUAUUUCCCCAAAUUCGAAUUCCUCGGAAAGAGAAAUUCACCUUUUUAUUUUAUCCUGUUGAUAGAGGUUCAUAAUACCUAAUCAUGAAUAGGGGUAAGAUAAAAAAUAGAUCUGGAUCUGGAAGAAAAAAAAUUAUCCGAAACUUCUGACUCUUACUAGAAAGUGUAACUUAUAUCACCAAAGAACAUUUUUCUUAGUUUUUUUUAUUACGAUGAACUAAAUACUUGUUCGCUACAAAUAAAAUAACUGAAUCUAGUGCUAUACUUUAAUUUUUGGAAUUUUGAUUCAAGGGAAAGAAACCAUGGAGCUGAAAUAACUCACUUAGAACACCUUUUAAAGGAUUACGUGGUACGAUUGGGUCGAAUAAGCCUUUAUGGAAUAAAUACUCAGCCGCUUGUGAACCAUCGGGUACUGUCUUAUUCAAUGUUUGUUCAAUUACUCUUUUACCCGCAAAUGCAAUGUACGCAUUAGGUUCAGCAAUAAUGAUAUCUCCCAACAUACCAAAACUGGCUGUUACUCCACCGGUUGUAGGAGAUGUAAGGACUGAUACAUAGAAUAACUUUUUAGUGGAUUGGUAAUCAUAUGAAGCAGAAGAUAUUUUAGCCAUUUGCAUCAAGCUCAAACUUCCUUCGUGCAUGCGUGCUCCUCCAGAAGCACACACAAUAAUGACAGGUAGAGAUCGAUUAGUAGCAUACUCAAUCAAACGAGUGAUUUUCUCACCUACUACAGAUCCCAUACUACCUCCCAUGAACUGAAAAUCCAUAACCCCAAUUGCUACGGUAAUACCGUUUAGUUGACCUAUGCCUGUUUGAACAGCUUCAGUUAAACCUGUCUUUCUUUGAUAAGAAUCGAUACGAUCUUUAUAAGGUUCCUCUUCUGAAUGAAAUUGAAUGGGGUCCAUAGAAACCAUAUCUUCAUCCAUAGGAUCCCAAGUGCCCGAAUCAAUCGAAAGUUCGAUUCUAUCUGAACUACUCAUUUUCAAAUGAUAUCCACACUGUUCACAAAUAUUCAUUUUUGACCUAAGAAGUUUUUUAUAAUUUAAUCCAUAACAAUUUUCGCAUUGAACCCAUAAAUGUCUGUAUUUUUUAUUUAUAUCGAAAUCAUUAGAUCUUCCUCUUAUAUUGAAAUCACUGCCAUUAUUACGAGUUCGUAUACUAAAACUUCCACUUUCACUACCACUUACAUUUUCAGUACAAAUGAAACUAUAAAUGUAACUGUCACUGUAAUUGUCAGUACCACCUGAAAUGGAACUAUUAAUACUGACUUCAAAACGAAGAUAACUAUUAAUGCAACUAUUAAUGUGAUUAGUCCAACUAGAUUGAGUAUCAUACAUGUAAUGAUAAUAGUAGUGAUUGUUUCUCUUAGACCCCCUAUUCAAAAAACUAGAAAAAAAACCUUCUAAUUCACUCAGAAAAGAACUAUCAUUGUCAAUCUCAAAACUAUGAUUUUCAAUAUCAAAAUAUACGGAAUAACUGUCACCAUUACUAUCCCUAACUAAAAAAGUGUCAUCAGAGAUCAAACUCCAAAUAUCCCUGAUACCAAAUAAAUAAUCAACAUUACUGAAACUAUAACUAACACUAUCACUCCAAUUUUUCUCCGUAUCAUUUAGAAGGGGUUCAUCACUUCCACUGGUAUGGCCAAUAGCAUCAAGACUUUCCAUCGAUUUACUUAAACCAUACCUAUGCUCUAACUUCUCGUUAGACAACAUCGAAUUGAACCACCAUUUUUCCAUAGAAUCUUUCUGCCCCCUAUUUGAUGAAAAUACAAUAGAUGAAUAGUCAUUCGAUGAAUAAUUAUUUUACUAUUUUAUUUCCUAUCAGAAUUAAGCAUAUGAGGAUUAGGAUUGUUAACUAAUAAUAAGUGAGUAUUGAAAGAAAUGAUUCUCUUUUUUUUGGAAUCCGAGAUAUCACUUCAAUAUCUAUCUAUAUAGAUAGAUUCUUUUUUUUUUUUCAAUUAAAAUACAAAUUUUCAUCGAAAAGAGAAAUAGUUUAUAAAUAAAGAAUUCGUUCUCGCAUAACCUUGUAUCAUAUAAUCAAAUAAUAAGUUUAUAUUGCAACAUGGAACGAAAAAGACAAUAUACAGGAUGAGUAGAUUGGAUAGAGGGAGCCCUUACCUUAGCUUAAUCUAAGGCCUGAAACUACGAGAUAUAAAAUGAUCCACUAAUCCUAUGGAUCCUUAGGAUUAAUUAUGGAUUGGAUCCAAAAAUAAAGAAAUAUUGAGUUGUUUCGUCUUCGUUCUAUUUAGAUCUUGUAUAUACUUGUAUAUUGUAUAUACUUGUAUAUAUAGUAUAUAGGUCUGUACAUGUGAUAUGAAAGAUAUAUGCAAAUAUAUAGUAUGUUAUGUUAGUAAGCUCAUUCUUUAUUUUAUUCGGCUCAAUCCUUUUUUUUAGGAAAAGAUUGGGCCGAGUUUAAUUGCAAUCAAUUAGGAGAACAAAGAGGAAUUACUAAACUCUACACGCUUAGUUUUUAUCUUUCUAUUUCGUUUUAUCUAGCUUAUCUACCGGUUCGAAGUCGAAUUUAAUCUGUUUCCAUACUUCACAAGCAGCGGCUAGCUCAGGGCUCCAUUUGCUAGCUUCACGGAUAAUUUCAGCACCUUCACGAGCAAGAUCACGUCCUUCAUUACGAGCUUGUACACACGCUUCUAAAGCCACCCGAUUAGCUACUGCACCAGGUGCAUUUCCCCAAGGGUGCCCUAAAGUUCCUCCACCAAACUGUAGUACGGAAUCAUCUCCAAAGAUUUCGGUAAGAGCAGGCAUAUGCCAAACAUGAAUACCCCCUGAAGCCACAGGUAUAACACCUGGCAUAGAGACCCAAUCUUGAGUGAAAAAGAUACCACGACUACGGUCUUUUUCAAUAAAAUCAUCACGUAAUAAAUCAACAAAACCCAAAGUCAUCUCGCGUUCCCCUUCCAGUUUACCUACUACUGUACCAGCGUGAAUAUGAUCUCCACCAGACAUACGUAAUGCUUUAGCUAGUACACGAAAAUGCAUACCAUGAUUUUUCUGUCUAUCAAUAACUGCAUGCAUUGCGCGAUGGAUGUGAAGAAGUAGGCCAUUGUCGCGGCAAUAAUGAGCCAAACUAGUAUUUGCAGUGAAUCCCCCAGUUAAGUAAUCAUGCAUUACGAUAGGAACUCCCAAUUCUCUGGCAAAUACGGCCCUUUUGAUCAUUUCUUCACAUGUACCCGCAGUAGCAUUUAAGUAAUGUCCUUUGAUUUCACCCGUUUCGGCCUGCGCUUUAUAAAUUGCUUCGGCACAAAAUACGAAACGGUCUCUCCAACGCAUAAAUGGUUGUGAGUUCACGUUUUCAUCAUCUUUGGUAAAAUCAAGCCCACCGCGUAGACAUUCAUAAACCGCUCUACCGUAGUUCUUUGCGGAUAAUCCCAAUUUUGGUUUAAUAGUACAUCCCAAUAGAGGACGACCAUACUUGUUCAACUUAUCUCUUUCAACUUGGAUGCCAUGAGGCGGGCCUUGGAAAGUUUUUGAAUAAGAAGUGGGAAUUCGCAGAUCCUCCAGACGUAGAGCUCGUAGGGCUUUGAAACCAAAUACAUUACCUACAAUGGAAGUAAACAUGUUAGUAACGGAACCUUCUUCAAAAAGGUCUAAAGGAUAAGCUACAUAAGCAAUAUAUUGAUUUUCCUCCCCGACAACGGGCUCGAUGUGGUAGCAUCUUCCUUUGUAACGAUCAAGACUGGUAAGUCCAUCAGUCCAAACAGUUGUCCAUGUACCAGUAGAAGACUCGGCUGCUACCGCAGCCCCUGCUUCUUCAGGCGGAACUCCGGGUUGAGGAGUUACUCGGAAUGCUGCCAAGAUAUCAGUAUCUUUGGUUUCGUAUUCAGGAGUAUAAUAAGUCAAUUUGUAAUCUUUAACACCAGCUUUAAAUCCAACACUUGCUUUAGUCUCUGUUUGUGGUGACAUAAGUCCCUCCCUACAACUCAUGAAUUAAGAAUUCUCACAACAACAAGGUCUACUCGAUAUGGAUUAGGCAUGAAUGAAACCUUUAACAAAAAUCUUUCAAAAAAUAUUCAAUAUUCAAUUAAUAUUAUCAACUCAUUAAAAUGUUAUGUUAAAACGGUUUGUUAUUAGACCAUGUAUUUGAUUCACCAAAUACAUCAUUAUUGUAUACUCUUUGAUAUAUAUAGCGCAACCCAACCCAAUCCUAAUCUUUGUUUUGCAGGUUUAUAAUUGAAUUGAUCCCUUUCUUAUUUUGAAUCUAAAUAUCUAAAUACUGAGAAAAAUUCCCCCUUGACAGUAAUAUAUGUUGUAUAUGUAAAUCCUAGAUGUGAAAAUAGGCAUAAUUCAUCCACGAAAGGGUAUAAUAUAAAGACGGAAAUCUAUAUGAAAAAUCCAAAAUAAAGAACAAAGGCCAAUAAGAUCCAAAUAAUAAAUCAUAAAUCGAGUUCGGGUUCGAAUUCCAUAAGUAAUAUAAUAUGGAUCUUUUUUUAUAUAAUGAUAGAGAAAUGAAACACAUUUAUUCACGAUUUCAUCUACUUGCAAUUUUUUUUUGAAAAAAAAAAAAGAUUGGCUGAACUUGAAAAUUUACUCAUUGAAUGAGUAAACGAGUGAAUCGGAUUCGGUUGGGUGGUACCAACUAAAUCGAGUGCUAUCUCCCAUUUAUCUCUUAUUGAAUUAACUGAUCAACUUGCUAUCGGACAUUUAUUUUCGAUUUGGUAUUAUUCCAAAAAGGAUUUCGACAUAUUUCACUUUAUUAUAAUUAUGAGAAUCAAUCCUAUUACUUCUAGCCCUGCGGUUUCCACACUUGAAGAAAAAAACCUAGGGUGUAUCGCUCAAAUUAUUGGCCCAGUACUGGAUGUCGUUUUUCCCCCGGGCAAAAUGCCUAAUAUUUAUAACGCUUUGGUAGUUAAGGGUCGAAAUACUGUCGGUCAGCAAAUUAAUGUGACUUGCGAGGUACAACAAUUAUUAGGAAAUAAUCGAGUUAGAGCUGUAGCUAUGAGUGCUACAGAUGGGCUGAUGAGAGGAAUGGAAGUGAUUGACACGGGAGCUCCUCUAAGUGUUCCAGUCGGCGGAGCUACUCUCGGGCGAAUCUUCAACGUUCUUGGAGAGCCUGUUGAUAAUUUAGGUCCUGUAGAUACUCGCACAACAUCUCCUAUUCAUAGAUCUGCGCCUGCCUUUAUACAGUUAGAUACGAAAUUAUCAAUCUUUGAAACAGGUAUUAAAGUGGUAGAUCUUUUAGCUCCUUAUCGCCGUGGAGGAAAAAUCGGACUAUUUGGGGGAGCUGGAGUAGGUAAAACAGUACUCAUCAUGGAAUUGAUCAACAACAUUGCCAAAGCUCAUGGAGGCGUAUCUGUAUUUGGCGGAGUAGGAGAACGUACUCGUGAAGGAAAUGAUCUUUACAUGGAAAUGAAAGAAUCCGGAGUAAUUAAUGAAAAAAAUCUUGCAGAAUCAAAAGUAGCUUUAGUCUAUGGUCAAAUGAAUGAACCGCCGGGAGCUCGUAUGAGAGUUGGUUUGACUGCCCUAACUAUGGCAGAAUAUUUCCGGGAUGUUAAUGAACAAGAUGUGCUUCUAUUCAUCGACAAUAUCUUUCGUUUUGUCCAAGCAGGAUCAGAAGUAUCCGCAUUAUUAGGGAGAAUGCCUUCUGCAGUGGGUUAUCAACCUACCCUUAGUACAGAAAUGGGUUCUUUGCAAGAAAGAAUUACUUCUACCAAAGAGGGAUCUAUAACUUCGAUCCAAGCAGUUUAUGUACCUGCGGACGAUUUGACCGACCCUGCUCCUGCCACUACAUUUGCACAUUUAGAUGCUACUACCGUACUAUCAAGAGGAUUAGCUGCCAAAGGUAUUUAUCCAGCAGUAGAUCCUUUAGAUUCAACGUCAACUAUGUUACAACCUCGGAUCGUUGGCGAGGAACAUUAUGAAACUGCGCAAAGAGUUAAGCAAACUUCACAACGUUACAAAGAACUUCAGGACAUUAUAGCAAUUCUUGGGUUGGAUGAAUUAUCCGAGGAGGAUCGUUUAACUGUAGCAAGAGCACGAAAAAUUGAGCGUUUCUUAUCACAACCCUUCUUCGUGGCAGAAGUAUUUACUGGUUCCCCAGGAAAAUAUGUUGGUCUUGCAGAAACAAUUAGGGGGUUUCAACUGAUCCUUUCCGGAGAAUUAGAUGGUCUGCCCGAGCAGGCCUUUUAUUUGGUGGGUAACAUCGAUGAAGCUACCGCGAAAGCUAUGAACUUAGAAGUGGAGAGCAAUUUGAAGAAAUGACCUUAAAUCUUUGUGUACUGACUCCUAAUCGAAUUAUUUGGGAUUCAGAAGUGAAAGAAAUCAUUUUAUCUACAAAUAGUGGCCAAAUUGGUGUAUUACCAAACCACGCCCCUAUUGCCACGGCUGUAGAUAUAGGUCUUUUGAGAAUACGCCUCAACGACCAAUGGUUAACGGUGGCUCUGAUGGGUGGUUUUGCUAGAAUAGGGAAUAAUGAGAUCACCAUUUUAGGAAAUGAUGCGGAGAUGAGUACUGAUAUUGAUCCACAAGAAGCUCAACAAGCUCUUGAAAUAGCUGAAGCUAACUUGAGUAGAGCUGAGGGUAAGAGACAAGUGAUUGAAGCGAAUCUAGCUCUCAGACGAGCUAGGACACGAGUAGAGGCUGCCAAUGCUAUUUCCUACUAGUCAAUACAUCAAAAUAAUCAAAAGAAGUUUUUUAGAAGUUCUUUAUUAUACACCACAUUUAGAUUCUGCCAAUUGAAGACAAUCAAGUAUAAUCUGAUACAACGAAAAAGGGAAGAUGAGUAGAAAAACUUAUUAGAUACCAUUGCAUUGACUCCGGUAUCUAAUAAGUUCUACCUACUAUUGGAUUUGAACCAAUGACUCCUGCCGUAUGAAAGCAAUACUCUAACCACUGAGUUAAGUAGGUAAUUUAUCACCGCAAAAGAAGACCCAUCACCUCGGGGAUUAUAGAUAGAAUAUUAUUUUUAAGCAAUACCAAUCUGUUAACAGUAAACGGAUCGGAGAGUUAUCAUGUGGGAUUAGGGAAUAUCCAUCUUGACAAGAAAUUAUCUAUAUGUUAAGAUAUCUAUGACAAGGGCUAUAGCUCAGUUAGGUAGAGCACCUCGUUUACACGUGCGCCAAUGCUUUUCAAGGGAGCUUAUUAUGCAAUGAACAUAAUUGAUCUUAUUGAAAAAUCAAUGUCUUACUCCAUAGAUUCGAGAGAACAAUAGCCUGACAAAUAUUUGGUUCGGUCCGAUUUUGGUGCGAAUUUAGGUGCCAAAUCAAAUAGAACCCGUCAUUGAUUUGAUAGUUGAUAAGGUAAAUACCCAGCCCAUUCAAUGCUAGGCAUAAUGAGUAUAAGGGCUUCAAAAAAACCUCUUUUCGUCCUAUGAACUUUAAGGUGUAUGAAGUCUCAUAUUCGACUCUUGCAGCGGAACGAUAGAGAUUCCAUUUAACUUAGGUUGAUCUAAGCCGAAGGCAGACCUAAGUCAAGGUAACCCUUCUUUGAAACACUUUGGUAUUGCUACUAGAUCUGAAUACAAAUAAUGAAUCAGAGCACAUGGAGCCAGCUCAUUAUCUUCCUGUAAAGAAAAAAUAUGGUGGACUAACUGAUCUUUACAUCAGUUGAUGAAAGAGCCCAAUGCAACAAACAAAAUGCAUGUUGGGUCUUUGAAACAGUUCGAAUCAUUUCGAUAAUAAUAAGUUUGAUCGGUUUUACCGAGAAGGUCUACGGUUCGAGUCCGUAUAGCCCUAAUACAUUCUAUUUGUCUAUUUUUGUAUAGACAUUCUAGUUUAGUUUAGUAUAGUUUUCAUUUCCUCAUUAGUACUUGUUUAUAGACUGGACAGACCGUUGGUUGUUUCAUAGAAAUGAAAUGAAAGCAUUACCACAUAUUCAUGUAAAUACAUAGGGACCUGAAAAUAAAAAAAAAAAAUAAUUCAUUCCAAUGGAUCUAAUCAGAUCAGUAUGUGUCAAAUCUAGGACAAGAAAAAGAAAGAAAAUAUAAUCGUUCGAUGCAUUAGAUUGUGUUUACGUAUUCGUAUUUGUAUAAAAUCAAUAGAAGCAACGACGAUCCUUUACCUGGAUUUUAAUGAAAAGAAUACACAAUAUUCAGAAAUCCCUAGACAUCUUUAAACAAAAAAAAAAAAUAAUUCAUUCCAAUGGAUCUAAUCAGAUCAGUAUGUGUCAAAUCUAGGACAAGAAAAAGAAAGAAAAUAUAAUCGUUCGAUGCAUUAGAUUGUGUUUACGUAUUCGUAUUUGUAUAAAAUCAAUAGAAGCAACGACGAUCCUUUACCUGGAUUUUAAUGAAAAGAAUACUUCGAAUAUGUUAGAAAUCCCUAGACAUCUUUUACCCAAAAAAUUUUUUCGGUUUUGAUAAUAACUAUGUUAUAUUUGAUAUUAUUUUUUUGAUAAUAUUUCAUUAUCUUAUUUCAUUUUCUUAUUUAUACAUUAUAUAAAUUAUAAGUAAAUAUAUAAUGUUAUAUAAUGUAUAAAUAAGAAAUAUUUCGAAAUAUAAAAUACAAAGAAAUAAAUAUAAGGAAGUAUCAAGAAAAAAACAUAGUAUUACUAUUCAUUAGAAUACAUUAGUAAUAGAAUAUUCUAUUAGGUUAGAUUAGUAUAUUUUAGUAUUUAAUUAAAUUACUUUUAUUAUUUAGAAUCUUUUAUUAUUUAGAAUUUGAUUAUUUAAUAUUUUUUAUAUCUUAUAUCUAUUUUUUUAUAGAGAAUAGAGAAAGCGAGACAAAGUGAGAGAGUUUUGUUUGUGUAAGAACGCCUUAUGUCUACACCAUAUCUAAAUAGAAUCGAAAUCCAAAAUGGAAUCCCGAUUCCGUUGGAUGAAUCUCUAAACAAGACAUGCCACACAGCAAACAAACUCUGAACUAUGCACUUUGAUUUGAUUAAAAUCAAUUCUUGUUUCACCUAGGAAAACAAGUUCUGGAUGAAUUGACAAUGCCAACUCGAAUAAUUCAGCAUAUUCCACAUUAAUAGGAGUACAUUUAUGUUUCUGCUUCACGAAUAUGAUAUUUUAUGGGCAUUUCUAAUAAUAUCAAGCGUUAUUCCUAUCUUGGCAUUUGUAAUUUCAGGAGUUUUAGCCCCGGUUAGUGAAGGACCAGAGAAGCUCUCUAGUUAUGAAUCGGGCAUAGAACCUAUGGGGGACGCUUGGUUACAAUUCCGAAUCCGCUAUUACAUGUUUGCUCUAGUUUUUGUUGUUUUUGAUGUUGAAACGGUCUUUCUUUAUCCAUGGGCAAUGAGUUUCGAUGUAUUGGGUGUAUCUGUAUUUAUCGAAGCUUUAAUUUUCGUGCUUAUCCCAAUUGUGGGUUCAGUUUAUGCAUGGCGAAAAGGAGCGUUGGAAUGGUCUUAACUGAGUAUUCAGACAAUAAAAAAAAAAAGGAAGGAAAAGAUUACAUUGAGACAGUUAUGAAUUUGAUUGAGUUUCCGUUACUUGACCAAACAACCCCCAAUUCAGUUAUUUCAACUACAUCGAAUGAUCUUUCGAAUUGGUCAAGACUCUCCAGUUUAUGGCCGCUUCUAUAUGGUACCAGUUGUUGUUUCAUUGAAUUUGCUUCAUUAAUAGGCUCGCGAUUCGACUUUGAUCGUUAUGGGUUGGUGCCAAGAUCAAGUCCUAGGCAAGCGGACCUAAUUUUAACAGCCGGCACGGUCACAAUGAAAAUGGCUCCUUCCUUAGUGAGAUUA